GAUAGUCCAUCACUGCUGUAUAACUUUUCAUAUGUAGCCUUGCUGAUAAUAUUGGAUUUCUUCAAAAAUCCAAUAUUAUCAGCAAUAAUCCAAUAUUAUCAGCAAGGCUACAUAUGAAAAGUUAUACAGCAGUGAUGGACUAUC